GGUCAUCCUGAAGCAUUAAAUGCAAGACACUGGGGUUUGGCCCUUCCACAGCUUUUACUGUGGAAUCUGAUGCAUCUACAUGCACUUUGCUGAACUACGUGCAUCUUCCGUGUAAGAAAAAUCCGCUGUCAUGGGUUUAAUACAAGCUAAAACAUGAGAUGACUUCUAAAAUUCUGUAUGUAGAUGUGAGGCAUGUUAAUGCAGGAAUCAGCUGGCCCACCACUACACAUUUGAAGGGCAGGUAGAUCAUAAUGCAAGCAAAACUGCUGAUGGAUGCUGAUUUUACUACUUCCUUUUUAGUGGUGGUGUUUGUUUUUUUUUUUCCUUUAAAGGCAUAUUUUUCAACAUAGAUUUAUUUUUUUAUGUGCUAGUAUUGAGCGUUUAUGAAUCCCUACAAAUAACAUUUCCAGCUUUAGGAAUCAACCCACAUUGGAGAGGAAAACAAGGAUGUGAAAAUCUGCAUCUUAUUUGCAUGUAUAUUACUACAUAACUCUGAAGGUUAAUAAGAAGACAACCAGUUUUUUUUCAAGCAAUUAGCCAAGAAUUUACAAAAGCUCUGUUGAGAAUCACCAUGCUGUGCAGGUUUCCUAUAGCUUCUACUUUGUCCCAGAGCACCAUUCCAGUAGGGGGGGGGGAAGGGGGGGAGGGAAAUUCAAUUAAUUAUACUGUUGUCAUGUUCAAUUUUUAUUAUCUUCCUAUGUGUCAAAGUUGUUGAUAGUAAACAAGAAAUGGAAUCAGCUUCAUUUUGACCUAAGACUUACAGGAGCAUCUUUCCUUACUCAAAGGGUCAAUUAAUGGGAACAGAAACAAAUCAGUGAUCCUUCAGUCCCAUUAGAAAUGAUGUCAAUUGGAAUGAGUCUUUGACCACUUAAUCUGUAAACUGCAACUGGCUUCUAAACCCCCCUCUUUUCUCAAGGACGUCCCCGAGUUGGUCGAACUACUCAGAGCAAAGAUUUAGUUAAGGCAGUGUUAAAAUAAAAGCACAAGCUGGAGAUCUGCUUCCAGCUCAUCAUAUGCACCUGGGAAUCUCAGAACAUAUUUGGCUUCAUCAGACUACCCAGCCAAUUAGUUGUUAAGUGACAGCGGUCGUGCAUUAGAAAAGGGAGUUGAAUGGCAGUGAACUGCGAGAGCUGGAAACCCACAGUAUCUGAAGAUAGAUGAAGUCCUGUCACUGCCACUAUUACUUGUCACAGGUGACUAAAAGGCAGUGGAGUUCAGCUUGCCAGGAUGAUGACUUUAUUAAAGUUUUUUCACCUUUAUUUCAAAUUCUUUUAGACAAGUCUAGGAAUUUUGCCUCUUAAGACACGGAGGGGUUACCUUCAGUUUGGGAAAAGGAUGUAAAACAUUCAAAAAUAAAUACACAGAUAAGUAAAGAAGUAUUUCUGUGCAUAUGCGACUAUAUUCAUGCCUGAGCUAAAACUGUACGAGUUGGAAAUUGUUUAAUUCAUAUCAAGUAAGGAUAAGUAUAUAGCUAAAUAACUUUGGACCUGAGUAAAGGGAGAAGCUUCCAAAAAACCCAAUACGUCUGCAUGUUUUACCAAAAACCUUAUGAAAUCUACUUUUUUAUUAUUAUAUUUAGUGAAAGUCUUGAAUAUGUGCAGUGUCAUGAUCCAACAGAUGCUAGUUACUGCCUGCAGUUUCACAAUCCAUUCACCAUAAAACACGCCUUUUAUAACAGAAAAAAUUCACUGAAUUACUUAAUCAAUACCACUUGGUGUCAGAUUAUAUGUAACAGAAAUAAUCUCUUGUUUAAGGAUUUCUCUCCAAAUAGCAACUCAGUGAGAACAGGGGCUCCUUAGCAUCUCAGCGCUCAUUCAUGUCCACUUGGAAUACUAGAUGCACGGUUGAGAAAUCUGCAAGAAAUUAAGGAAGUUUGGAUUUGCCUAGUAAUACUUUGACUUGGUAGCAUAACUGCUACCAAGACUUGAAAUAAUAAAUCUGUGAUGGAAGCUGUGUAGGGCACACCUGGCAUGACGGAUGGUGAUAGUCAUACUUUUGUUGUCAGCUGCGGGCACCACGCGUUAUGCCAAAUGCUUUCCCCAUUCCCAAGGCAUCCAAGGAACCCAGCUGGAAAAUAAGUCUGACUUCUCAGUGAUCUUACUCUGUUCCCACUAUUUCAGUCUUAAUGCAUAAAACUUUCUCCUGGGCUGGACUUUCACUAAGUAAUUAUUAAUUGACCUUCUGUGUCUAUGUAAAAUGAAGCAGAAUACUCCUUCUGCUCACUCAUCCUGUAGCUAAGGAACAACAAAAGGUGUUUGGCAACUUUGGUGCCAACCUUUGGUGGCCCUUCUUAACCUGUCCAGGAAGCUCCCAGGGCUUUAUCUUCUUCAUAACUGACAUGUUUGACUUCCCAGUGCUUUACAAAUGAUUCUUGUCUUCAGCAAAUAAGUUUAACUUCGAACAUACAUGUAUUCAAUAUAUAUUGUUAUCAAGCUGAUUAAAGACCUUUACUCAACACAGCACGUAUAAUUCUGAGUUAAUAAUGCCUGUUAAUUUAUGCUAGAUUAUCAACAAUUUAUCAAUAAACAGUCCAGAGAAGUAGGGAAGACUACUCUAUUUGCAGUUGUUUGUUAAAUAUUUUGUUGUACCUCAAAUGUACUUCAGAUCAUGAUAAAACUGCCCAUUUUGUUGAAUUAACUUCACUAAUUUGCUGCAUUUUAAAAGUUUUUAGGAAAAGUAAAUUGGCAUCUGGAAUGUGGGUGUUUACACCAUUCACUGUUUCAGCAUAACAGAAACUGCAGCAACAUAUCUCAAUUUUCCCUGCCCUAGAUUCAGGAAAUGAUGCAAGUUAAUUUCUGUUGUAAGUGCUCAGGAAUAUGUCAACCUGAUGAAGGAUAUUUUCUGGAUCUGAAAUACUGACACAUCUGGCUCGAUAUACAGGUGAGAGUUCCUAAAAUAAAGCUACUUUAAAUAUAUAUUUUGCUUAAAAUAGCCGAGACUUGCUUAGAAUAAUUCCAGUUCUCCUCAAGCUUAAAUGAGACACCCACAUACCAGACCAUUCCAUCUCCUAUUUUAAUG
ensembl:lncRNA